UUACUCUGUGAUUGGUUGCUUCUCGUGUAUCUCAUUUACUUUGUAUUUUUAUUAUUUAUUUGCUGAGUGUGUUUUGUUAUCACAACUGGACUAUUGGACCAGUGGGUGAGGGGAUGGAUUCCCCCAUGACCCCAAGGUCAGGGGUUCAAACCUAGUGUGUGCAUUCUGACCAUAUUUUUUCCACUUUUGUGUUGUUUUGGUUUAUUUAUUUUUCAUUUUCAUUUUCCUUUUGAUUUAUUUUUUAACCCUCUUAUUUUUAUUAUUUUGAAAAAAUGUCAAACAU
rnacentral:lncRNA from 1 species